rnacentral:tRNA from 1 species
CGAAGUAUGGCCUGGUAGUUUGGCAUUUCACUUACACUGAAAUUUGUUUUGUGCGACUCAAAAUACUUUGA